AUGAGAUCAUAUGUCAUACUUUCUGUUUUCCCCACCGGGGUUUUUGGGAAAGUAUAUACGACACAUUUAUUGUUCUCUGAACUCUAUGGGUUUUCUCGUAUUGAGUUAAAAGAGACAAUAACCAUUAUAUGUUGCUUCAUUUUCUCCUUAUUUUUCCCAUUGGGUUUGAAGGAGUUUUGGCAACAUAUCAAACACUAUACUCCUCAUAUUUUUCCCACCGGGUUUUUAGAGGAGAUUAUUCCAAGGAUCGUCGAUCGCAAGCACAAGGAAGGAUUAGGGGGAGUGUUAGGAUUUAAUUAA
rnacentral:rRNA from 1 species